UACGUAGGGGGCGAGCGUUGUCCGGAGUUACUGGCGUAAAGCGCACGCAGGCGGUCUGUUAAGUUUGGAGUGACAUGUUGGUGGCUUAACUGCCAAAGUGCUUCGAAACUGACAGACUUGAGGGCUUCAGAGGGACACGGAAUUCCGGGUGGAGUGGUGAAAUGCGUAGAGAUCCGGAGGAACACCAAAGGCGAAGGCAGUGUCCUGGGGAGUACCUGACGCUCAGGUGCGAAAGCCAGGGGAGCGAACGGG
rnacentral:rRNA from 1 species